rnacentral:rRNA from 1 species
GGACAAACCGGAGGAAGGUGGGGAGGACGUCAAAUCAUCAUGCCACUUAUGACCUGGGCUGCACACGUGCUACAAUGGAUGGUACAACGAGUCGCGAAACCGCGAGGUUUAGCUAAUCUCUUAAAACCAUUCUCAGUUCGGACUGUAGGCUGCAACUCGCCUACACGAAGUCGGAAUCGCUAGUAAUCGCGGAUCAGCAUGCCGCGAUGAAUACGUUCCCGGGCCUUGUACACACCGCCCGUCUCGCCAUGAGAGUUUGUAACACCCA